rnacentral:rRNA from 1 species
CCUACGGGUGGCAGCAGUGAGGAAUAUUGGUCAAUGGGCGGGAGCCUGAACCAGCCAAGUCGCGUGAGGGAAGACGGUCCUACGGAUUGUAAACCUCUUUUGUCGGGGAGCAACGGGGUCCUUGCGAGGGUCCGCUGAGAGUACCUGGAGAAAAAGCAUCGGCUAACUCCGUGCCAGCAGCCGCGGUAAUACGGAGGAUCCGAGCGUUAUCCGGAUUUAUUGGGUUUAAGGGGAGCGUAGGUGGAUUGUUAAGUCAGUUGUGAAAGUUUGCGGCUCAACCGUAAAAGUGCAGUUGAAACUGGCAGUCUUGAGUACAGUAGAGGUGGGCGGAAUUCGUGGUGUAGCGGUGAAAUGCUUAGAUAUCACGAAGAACUCCGAUUGCGAAGGCAGUUCACUGGACUGCAACUGACACUGAGGCUCGAAAGUGUGGGUAUCAAACAGGAUUAGAUACCCUGGUAGUC